rnacentral:misc_RNA from 1 species
GCCGCGGAGAUGGAUGAGGAGGGCGAUGGCGCCGCCGAGGGACUCGGCGUAGAAGAAGCAGGGGAGGGAGGCGGGGUGGAGGGCGCGGAAGGAGGUGAGGAAGGUGAUGCAGUCGUCGACGACGGGGGUGAUGUCGGGGAUGUGGGCGACGAGGCCGUCGGAGAAGCCGUGGCCCUGGUGGUCGAGGGCGGCGACAGCGAAGCCGGAGGAGGCGAAGUAGACGGCGGUGAGCUGGAUGAGCCAGCUGGACUCGCCGGUGAAGCCGGAGCCAAACGGGAACGGGC